CUAGCACGAGGCAUGCUAGAGCAGGACAUCCUUGAUGAUUGGGAGACGACGUGAGAACUUAUACCACCACAAGAGAAGGUCUCAGGCGCGCAAAUUACCCAAUCCUAAUACAGGGAGGUAGUGACAAGAAAUAACAAUACAGGACUUUUUUAGUUUUGUAAUUGGAAUGAGUUAAGUAUAAACCCCUUUACAAGUAUCAAUUGGAGGGCAAGUCUGGUGCCAGCAGCCGCGGUAAUUCCAGCUCCAAUAGCGUAUAUUAAAGUUGUUGCAGUUAAAAAGCUCGUAGUUGGAUUUCUGUUAAUAAUUUAUAUAUAAUAUUUUUAAUAUUUAUAUAAUAUUAACAUAAUUCAUAUUACUAUAUUAUUAUUAGUAUAUGAAAUUUUACUUUGAGAAAAUUAGAGUGCUUAAAGCAGGCAUAUGCCUUGAAUACUCCAGCAUGGAAUAAUAUAAAAGAUUUUUAUCUUUUUUAUUGGUUCUAAGAUAAAAAUAAUGAUUAAUAGGGACAGUUGGGGGCAUUUGUAUUUAACAGUCAGAGGUGCAUUUUUUUAAAAA
rnacentral:rRNA from 1 species